rnacentral:ncRNA from 1 species
CUUAAGAGUUUGAUCCUGGCUCCGAGUUAACGCUAUCUAUUUGCUUAACACAUGCAAGUCAAACAUUUUGGUGGCGAACGGGUGAAUAACAUAUAAGAAUCUACCUUUCUUUUAACUUUUCUGUUUUAAUAAGUUAGAUAUAAUUCGAAGAAAGAUGAGCUUAUAAAGGAUUAGGUUGUUGGUUAGGUAACUGCUGACCAAGCCGAUGAUCCUUAGCUGGUUUUAAAGGAUGUCCAGCCACAUUAAAACUGAGACAAGGUUUAAACUCUUUUUAGAGGCAGCAGUGAGGAAUCUUGAACAAUAAGCGCAAGCUUGAUUCAGCAAUUUAGAAUAAAUGAUGAAGGCUCUUUAGUCGUAAAAUUUCUUUGUUAUUUUUAGAUUAUGACUGUGAUAACAAAAAAGCCCUGGCAAAUUUCGUGCCAGCAGCCGCGGUGAUACGGGAAGGGCAAGUGUUAUUCGAAAUUACUAGGCGUAAAGGGUACGUAGGCUGUAUUCAUUGUUAUAAAAUUAAACACAACAUCAAAUAUUGUGACUUUUUCUAACAAAAUACUUUGAGUUUAUAGAAGGACUUUAGAAUUUUAAAGGUAGAAAUAAAAUUCGUAGAUCUUUAAAGGAAUUUCAAUUGUGAAAACAAAAGUCUUGCUUUUUUACUGACGCUAAUGUACGAAAGCUUAGGUAGCAACCAGGAUUAGAUACCCUGUUAGUCUAAGCUGUAAACGAUGAAUACUCAUUUUUGGAUUUUUUUAUUCAGAAAUUUAGCUAACGCGUUAAGUAUUCCGCCUGAGAAGUACGUUGGCAACGAUGAAACUCAAAGGAAUUGACGGGGAUUUAUACCAUUUGCGGAAUAUGUGGUUUAAUUCGUAAAUACACGCAAAAACUUACCAAAUCUUGUAUGAUAUAUUUUCUAUAUUGUUUAUAUUUUUUCUAUCACAGGUGCUGCAUGGCUGUCGUCAGCUCGUGUUGUGAGAUGUUAGGUUCAGUCCAAUUACGAGCGCAACCCUUGUUUUUUGUUGCCAUUAUUAUUAUUAGUCUUUUUUUAAAAGACUUUUUUUUAGGAACUCAAAAAAAAUUGCUUAUGACAUAUAAGAUGAAAGAAAGGAUGACGUCAAGUCCUCAUGGCCCUUAUGAUUUGGGCUACUCAUGUAUUACAAUGAUAAUAACAAAAAGUUGCAUAAAUGAAAAUUUUAGCUAAUCUUUGAAAAAUUAUCGUAGUUCGAAUUAUUUUCUGUAAGACGAAAAUAUGAAGUUGAAGUAAAUAGUAAUCGUUUAUCAGAAAGAAACGGUGAAUUUGUACUUAAAUCUUGUACAUACCGCCCGUCACAUCAAGGAAUUUUUGUAACUUGAUUUUUAAAGUAUUUGAUUGAUUUAUAAAGUAUGUAUUCUAAUGUAUAGGCUUUCUCUUUUUUUACAUCUUUCAAAAUUUUAUAAAGAUAGUUAACAAAAUUACUUUGAUGAAGUCGGAACAAGGUAA